rnacentral:rRNA from 1 species
GAUGAACGCUGGCGGCGUGCCUAAUACAUGCAAGUCGAGCGAACAGACGAGGAGCUUGCUCCUCUGACGUUAGCGGCGGACGGGUGAGUAACACGUGGAUAACCUACCUAUAAGACUGGGAUAACUUCGGGAAACCGGAGCUAAUACCGGAUAAUAUAUUGAACCGCAUGGUUCAAUAGUGAAAGACGGUUUUGCUGUCACUUAUAGAUGGAUCCGCGCCGCAUUAGCUAGUUGGUAAGGUAACGGCUUACCAAGGCAACGAUGCGUAGCCGACCUGAGAGGGUGAUCGGCUACACUGGAACUGAGACACGGUCCAGACUCCUACGGGAGGCAGCAGUAGGGAAUCUUCCGCAAUGGGCGAAAGCUUGACGGAGCAACGCCGCGUGAGUGAUGAAGGUCUUCGGAUCGUAAAACUCUGUUAUUAGGGAAGAACAAAUGUGUAAGUAACUAUGCACGUCUUGACGGUACCUAAUCAGAAAGCCACGGCUAACUACGUG